GCUGGAAUUACGAGCCCAAACUUAAACCCAAGACUGACGGUGUCCCAUCCCCCUAGAGGAGCCUGUUCUAUAAUCGAUUCUCCCCGAUCCACCUCACCGCCCCUUGAACACCCAGUCUGUAUACCUCCGUCGCAAGCUUACCAUGUGAGCGCUUAAUUAGUGAGCCCAAAAAUCUAACACUCACACGUCAGGUCAAGGUGCAGCCCACGGGGCGGAAAGAAAUGGGCUACAAUCUCUACCCUAGAACAAACGGAAACCUGUAUGCAAUACAGUUACUAAGGCGGAUUUAGAAGUAAAAAGAAAUUAGAGAGUUCUUUUUAAUUGGGCCCUGGGACGCGUACACACCGCCCGUCACCCUCUUCAAAUUUAAACACAUGUCACUAACACCAAAAACCCCAACAGAAGAGGCAAGUCGUAACACGGUAAGCGUACUGGAAAGUGCGCUUGGAAUAACAAAAUGUAACUUAACAAAAGUGCCUUGCUUACACCAAGAACAUACCCGUGAAACCCGGAUCAUUUUGAGUCUAAAACCUAGCCCUACCUGCCCUCAAUAAAAAUACUACACUAACCAACAUAAUUAAAACAUUCUCUCAGCCAAGUAAAGGCGAUUAAAAAGCACCUAGGAG
rnacentral:rRNA from 1 species